GACGUAGGGCGCGAGCGUUGUCCGGAUUUAUUGGGCGUAAAGAGCUCGUAGGCGGCUUGUCGCGUCGUUCGUGAAAACUUGGGGGCUCAACCCCCAAGCUUGCGGUCGAUACGGGCAGGCUAGAGUUCGGUAGGGGAGACUGGAAUUCCUGGUGUAGCGGUGAAAUGCGCAGAUAUCAGGAGGAACACCGGUGGCGAAGGCGGGUCUCUGGGCCGAUACUGACGCUGAGGAGCGAAAGCGUGGGGAGCGAACAGG
rnacentral:rRNA from 1 species